UCGAACGAGAUCCUUAGCGAAGCUUGCUUUGCUAAGUUCUAGUGGCGAACGGGUGAGUAACACGUGAGCAACCUGCCCAGAAGCAGGGGAUAAGCCACCGAAAGGUGGUCUAAUACCGUAUGUGAUUCCAAGGGGCAUCUCUUGGACAUUAAAGGGGGGGAUCUUCGGACCUCUCACUUCUGGAUGGGCUCGCGGCCUAUCAGCUUGUUGGUGGGGUAACGGCUCACCAAGGCAGCGACGGGUAACUGGUCUGAGAGGAUGAUCAGUCACACUGGAACUGAGACACGGUCCAGACACCUACGGGUGGCAGCAGUCGAGAAUCAUUCACAAUGGGCGAAAGCCUGAUGGUGCGACGCCGCGUGGAGGAUGACAGCCCUAGGGUUGUAAACUCCUGUCAUGAGAGAGUAAAGACUUAACGUUAAUACCGUUGGGUCCUGAUAGUAUCUCAAGAGGAAGGGACGGCUAACUUCGUGCCAGCAGCCGCGGUAAUACGAAGGUCCCAAGCGUUGUUCGGAAUUACUGGGCGUAAAGCGUGCGUAGGCGGCAUGGUAAGUCAGAUGUGAAAUCCCGGGGCUCAACCUCGGAACUGCAUCCGAUACUGCCAAGCUAGAGUAGUGGAGGGGAGUCUGGAAUUCACGGUGUAGCAGUGAAAUGCGUAGAUAUCGUGAGGAACACUAGUGGCGAAGGCGAGACUCUGGACACUAACUGACGCUGAGGCACGAAGGCUAGGGUAGCGAAAGGGAUUAGAUA
rnacentral:rRNA from 1 species